rnacentral:rRNA from 1 species
GACGAACGCUGGCGGCGUGCUUAACACAUGCAAGUCGUACGGUAAGGCCCUUUCGGGGGUCCACGAGUGGCGCACGGGUGAGUAACACGUGAGUAACCUGCCCACAACUUUGGGAUAACGCUAGGAAACUGGUGCUAAUACUGGAUAUGUGCUCCUGCUGCAUGGUGGGGGUUGGUAAGCUCCGGCGGUUGUGGAUGGACUCGCGGCCUAUCAGCUUGUUGGUGGGGUAGUGGCCUACCAAGGCGGCGACGGGUAGCCGGCCUGAGAGGGUGACCGGCCACAUUGGGACUGAGAUACGGCCCAGACUCCUACGGGAGGCAGCAGUGGGGAAGAUUGCACAAUGGGCGCAAGCCUGAUGCAGCAACGCCGCGUGCGGGAUGACGGCCUUCGGGUUGUAAACCGCUUUCAGCAGGGACGAAGCUUUUUGUGACGGUACCUGCAGAAGAAGCACCGGCUAACUACGUG